rnacentral:rRNA from 1 species
CGGAUAGAGCCAGCGAAGUCGCUCGUAUUCAGCCAAAAGUCUGGGGUUGCCUGUCGUCGUGUUUCUAAUCGAGCACGGCGGUUUGUCUUCUCCGGAUUGAGGUGCAUUUGCGGGCGUUUGCGCUGAGACUUGCGAGGCAGCUGCGGGACCGGCGUCUAGAGGCUUCCCAUUGGGUUGAACCUGGGCGCCGUUACAGCUGUUUGCCUUGCUCGUACUGGUCUGGCCUACGGACCCUGCUCGUGCUGUUGUCUGCUGGCCAAGGCAUCGCAUGCGAUGUCUAGCCUGGGGGCUGCAGCGCGGGUUGGUGUCCCCGGAUCGCCUCUCGGUGUAGAAGCUGGUCAUCUCUCCGACCCGUCUUGAAACACGGACCAAGGAGUUUAGCGUAUGCGCGAGUCAUUGGGUGUUAAAACUCACAGGCGCAAUGAAAGUGAAGGCUCGGUCGCCGGGCUGACAUGCGAGUGCCGCGGCUUCGGCCUAGGCAUGCAGCAUGGUCCCAUUGCAAUCGUUUACGAUGCAGUGGAGACAGAGCGUAUGCGCUGAG